rnacentral:rRNA from 1 species
CCUACGGGUGGCUGCAGUGAGGAAUAUUGGUCAAUGGCCGGGAGGCUGAACCAGCCAAGUCGCGUGAGGGAAGACGGCCCUACGGGUUGUAACCCUCUUUUGUCAAGGGACAAAAUCAGGCUCGAGAGCCUGACCGAGGGUACUUGAAGAAAAAGCAUCGGCUAACUCCGUGCCAGCAGCCGCGGUAAUACGGAGGAUGCGAGCGUUAUCCGGAUUUAUUGGGUUUAAAGGGUGCGUAGGCGGACUGUUAAGUCAGCGGUAAAAGCCCGGGGCUCAACCCCGGCGAGCCGUUGAAACUGGCUGUCUUGAGAUGUCGAGAGGUAUGCGGAAUGCGCAGUGUAGCGGUGAAAUGCUUAGAUAUUGCGCAGAACUCCGAUUGCGAAGGCAGCAUACCGGCGGCGAUCUGACGCUGAGGCACGAAAGCGUGGGUAUCGAACAGGAUUAGAUACCCGGGUAGUC